CUAGUUGGUGGGGUAACGGCCCACCAAGGCGACGACGGGUAGCCGGCCUGAGAGGGCGACCGGCCACACUGGGACUGAGACACGGCCCAGACUCCUGCGGGAGGCAGCAGUGGGGAAUAUUGCGCAAUGGGCGAAAGCCUGACGCAGCGACGCCGCGUGGGGGAUGAAGGCCUUCGGGUUGUAAACCCCUUUCAGCAGGGACGAAGCGAGAGUGACGGUACCUGCAGAAGAAGCGCCGGCUAACUACGUGCCAGCAGCCGCGGUAACACGUAGGGCGCAAGCGUUGUCCGGAAUUAUUGGGCGUAAAGAGCUCGUAGGCGGUCUGUUGCGUCCGCUGUGAAAACCCGGGGCUUAACCCUUGGCUUGCAGUGGAUACGGACAGACUAGAGGUAGGUAGGGGAGAAUGGAAUUCCCGGUGUAGCGGUGAAAUGCGCAGAUAUCGGGAGGAACACCGGUGGCGAAGGCGGUUCUCUGGGCCUUACCUGACGCUGAGGAGCGAAAGCGUGGGGAGCGAACAGGAUUAGAUACCCUGGUAGUCCACGCUGUAAACGUUGGGCGCUAGGUGUGGGGUCCUUCCACGGAUUCCGUGCCGCAGCUAACGCAUUAAGCGCCCCGCCUGGGGAGUACGGCCGCAAGGCUAAAACUCAAAGGAAUUGACG
rnacentral:rRNA from 1 species